rnacentral:guide_RNA from 1 species
AUAUAUAAAUCAACGAAACCAUCAGAUUCUAUAGUGAGUAAUGAUAUAAU